rnacentral:tRNA from 1 species
GCCUGGCUGGCUCAGUCGGUUAAGCGUCUGACUUCGGCUCAGGUCAUGAUCUCACGGUCCGUGAGUUCGAGCCCCGCGUCCGGCU